rnacentral:piRNA from 1 species
UGAUGGAUAUUUUAAAGGUAAUCGCGGA